rnacentral:lncRNA from 1 species
GAUUUAAAUGACACAACUAUAUACUCUGAGGAAAGGCAAUGUAAAAAAUGUACAAGUUAUUGCAGAGCCUUGAAAUCGAGAAGCAGACAACAAUCUGAUGAGAAGCAGAGAGAAUGAAAGUUGCUGGGCAUAAUUUAGACAAAGCUAUUGGGUUAAAGAUGGAUGCACGGUUGGAGAAUUUCUAAAGACAUAAACUCCUUCAAAGUCUGAGGCAGCCAUAUUAUAGAUUGAAAGCUUGGAGUGAUGAAGCAAUGAGAGAAGAGAUACCAAUAAUGAAGCAUCCACUGAAG